UACAGAGGUCUCAAGCGUUGUUCGGAUUCAUUGGGCGUAAAGGGUGUGUAGGUGGCGCGCUAAGUCGGGUGUGAAAUCUUGGAGCUUAACUCCGAAACUGCAUUCGAUACUGCCGUGCUUGAGGACUGGAGAGGAGACUGGAAUUUACGGUGUAGCGGUGAAAUGCGUAGAUAUCGUAAGGAAGACCAGUGGCGAAGGCGGGUCUCUGGACAGUUCCUGACGCUGAGGCACGAAGGCCAGGGGAGCAAACGGG
rnacentral:rRNA from 1 species